AUCAGAGCUAUAGUAGUUAGCUGAGGAAAGCCUUACAAGCCAGUACUGAAACAGAACACAGAGUAGUUAGCUGAGAGUUAGUGGAAGGACACCCAUGUCUGAAGGUAUUUUGUAUACCAGCAAAAGGCACCACAGGAUCAACCCAGCCAAAUCCCUAUGAGGACAUCUGUAAGGUGUGAUGAAAAAAGGUCUCAAUACUUGGAAGUCAAAUGUUCCUAAUGGGCUUUGCCAACCCAAUUUCUUAAGGAUGGCACGGGGUUUGCUGUUUUCCCGUGAGGCCUCCAGGGUCACAUCACGCUUGGUGUUGCGAUCAAACAUUCUGAAGAAAUUGUUGUAGGAGCCGGUCAUGAUGACACUGAGGAGCAAGCAAAGAGAAUGGGGUGAGAACAGAAAUCAAAUCAGGUGUCUGGAUCAGAGUGACCACUACUUCCACAGCAAAAUCCCUGUCCUCACACCCCCAAGUAAGAGAUAGGAAAUCUGUGACCCUCCAAAUGCAGCUGGACUCCAAAUCCCAUCACUACCAGCCAGCAUUGCCAAUAGCAAGGGA